AACAUACGGCUGGGUGAUAAAAACAGUAAAUUAGGUAAAUACAGUAAACUAAACCGAUUCAACACACAAACACACGCACACACACACACACACACACACACACACACACACACGCACACACACACACACACACACACACACUCACACACACACACGUCGCAAUGUUUUCCGCCGCAGGAAGCCACUGAAAACACAAGACUAAUGGGACCAAAAGGGAAACCUUACCGUGGGCUACCCGGGUGUAUGUGUAGUUCAAGUACCAGCAGACCUGCAAGCCAGACGCCGUCGCCCCUCCAAGACCCCCCAGCAUCAGGAGCGCCGACAGAAACACUGUGGUCAACACGUUAACGGCAGGAGACAUGUUCUCUCCGGACAGCAACAGGACCCAGUUGACCACAUGUAUUAAAGACCCCUGAGAACAUACGUCACCUGUCGCAUGUGAUGAACACACCCACAUAUGUACAUGUAUAAAAACUGACCAAUACACAUAUACCUUCAACCACUAAUUUAAACUCAACAAAUUCCUGCCUCAAUAAUUACCAGGCUUUGGGGAAUAUAUUUGAAAAUAUGCACUAAUUGGGCUGAUUAAUGAACCAGUUGGUAUUUGUGUUCAAUAGAAAAAUGGAAUGGCAGCACCAUGCUCAUGUGCUAUAAUGUUGUUCAAUUCAAUUCAAUUCAUUUUGUAUAGCCCAAAAUUACAAAUUUGCCUCAGAGGGCUUUACAAUCUCUAACUACAAUAGAGGCUGCCUUUUCUCUUCACUGCAGGCAUUGCUAAUUAUAUCCUGCUGUCAUUAUCAAGGACCACAUUUAUAUUGCGAAAGCAUUGAAAGAUCAGCUACAGUUGAUUAACUAAUGAGAAGUUUCUUUCUUUCUUGUUCUUAAUCGUUUACCUCCGAGUUUGACACACUAACACCUUCAUUAUCCUCAUUGUUGACGUCAUUGCUUUUUUAAAAACACAUAAUGAAGAGCUGCACAUGUACUAAUGGUUUUGCAAUGGUUACAAUGGGAAAAGGAGCACAUUAUUAUUGUCAAUUAAUCCGACAAUAAGACCAUAAACUAACAAUACAUUUGUCCAUCUCUUAAUACUUUCUGACCCCAGCCCUAAACUACAACGACUGAAGAGAUGAACCUUUAAAAUUGAUAAAAAUAUAUACUAUAGUGACCCCGUUGCCUAUCAACAAAAGGUCACUAUGGUUGCUUCCAGGUUUAGUCUUGACACGUGCAAUAAAUAGAUGCAAUGUCCAGUUUUGAAUUUGAAAAGUUAUUUAUUUGUAAUAUUGUAAGUCUUUUCAACACAAACCAAAAUAUAUAUAUUCCUUGUCCAAAACCAAUUUGUCUUUUCCCAAAAAAUGAAAGAAAUCAAACCGUUCGUUUGUCCGUCUAGUUUCGCACGGUCAAAAACGGUGUGCUCCUGCCAGUCAAGCAACACCUGGCCUUAGUCUUCCUCUUGAUUAUAUUGGGCUGUCUUAAUUGACAGCCGCCCUCCGCCACCUAGUGGUGGGAGGUCCAACAAAACAAAAUCAAACAAAAUGGUCAUUUGUAUUAAAAAAAAAUUAAACAAGUAAUAUGUUUAGCUUUUACUUUUCAAUUGCGCUAUCCCCUCAUAUAAACUUCGACAGUACCAGAGUCAAAUUCCUUGUACAUAUAUUGGCCAAUAAAGCUGAUUAUGAUUUAAUAAAACCUUAAAGGGGCACUACGAGUUUAGUCACGUGCAAAGGAACAGAUUUUAAAAAAGGGUCAAAUCGAUGCAGCAGAGGCUCCCUGUACCCUGAAUCCUUCCCUCCCAUAAUGCAACUCCAUAGCCUUGUCCCCAUUAGACCGUCCAUGCCUUUAAACACCGACAUCAACUCCAUCUCCUCAAAUUGUAAUGCAGGCUUUAUAAUAUACUGUAUAUUUGAAGUCCAAGCCAAAGCCCUGAUGACAUCACAGAAGACAUUAAAUUUCUCAUUAAACUUUCUUCAAAUGCUA